CGCACAUUGCGCCCCUUGGUAUUCCAUGGGGCAUGCCUGUUCGAGCGUCAUUUGUACCCUCAAGCUCUGCUUGGUGUUGGGCGUCUUGUCUUUUUCUUUAGUGAUUAGACUCGCCUUAAAGUAAUUGGCAGCCAGUGUUUUUGGUAGUAAGCGCAGCACAUUUUGCGUCUUAGUCUAUAAACAGUGGCAUCCACAAAGCCUCUUUCUCACUUUUGACCUCGGAUCAGGUAGGGAUACCCGCUGAACUUAA
rnacentral:misc_RNA from 1 species